UCCGGUUUGGCACCGGCAGUCUCCCUAGAGUUCCCGGCAUGACCCGCUGGCAACUAGGGACAGGGGUUGCGCUCGUUGCGCCACUUAAGGCAACACCUCACGGCACGAGCUGACGACAGCCAUGCACCACCUGUGCAGGCUCCGAAGAGCGCCCGCUUUCACGGGUUUCACCCUGCAUGUCAAGCCCAGGUAAGGUGGGGAUGACGUAGCUAAGCCUUC
rnacentral:misc_RNA from 1 species